GGGGGUCCAAGGUGAUUUUCCAAGGAAUAUAAUUCAUUUUCCCAAGGUCCAUCUCCAUAUAUUACUUCUCGCAUUCCAUCUCCCUCUCUUCUGCGUGGAUCCUUACUAAAUCCUCCUUCCCUUUCUAUCANAAUAUUCUUCCCUGCACCAUCAUUAGCUACGCCUAUAUCUCUCUGGCGAAUUUUGCAUGCGUAUAUUAACAA
rnacentral:rRNA from 1 species